GUGCUUGCUUCGGCAGCACAUAUACUAAAAAAUUGGAACGAUACAGAGAAGAUUAGCAUGGCCCCUGCGCAAGGAUGACACACAAAUUCGUGAAGCGUUCCAUAUUUUU
ensembl:snRNA U6 U6 spliceosomal RNA